CUAGGGUGAUGUGACUUAGCCAAAUCAGACAUUCAUGUGCUUCAUGAGGUGACAAACAUUAUCUUCAAAGCUUGCUUCCGUUGUAAAACUAUA